UUAAAGUUGUUGCCGUUAAAAAGCUCGUAGUUGAACCUUGGACCUGGCUGAUCUGUCCUCCUAAUCGAGCGUACGGAUUCGGUCGGGUCUUUCCUUCUGGGGAACCUCAUGCCCUUCACUGGGCGUGUUGGGGAACCAGGACUUUUACUUUGAAAAAAUUAGAGUGUUCAAAGCAGGCCUUUGCUCGAAUACAUUAGCAUGGAAUAAUAGAAUAGGACGUGUGGUUCUAUUUUGUUGGUUUCUAGGACCGCCGUAAUGAUUAAUAGGGAUAGUCGGGGGCAUCAGUAUUCAAUCGUCAGAGGUGAAAUUCUUGGAUUGAUUGAAGACUAACUACUGCGAAAGCAUUUGCCAAGGAUGUUUUCAUUAAUCAGUGAACGAAAGUUAGGGGAUCGAAGACGAUCAGAUACCGUCGUAGUCUUAACCAUAAACUAUGCCGAC
rnacentral:rRNA from 1 species